rfam:Kazachstania naganishii CBS 8797 chromosome 1, complete genome
GGGUGUGUGGCGCAGUUGGUAGCGCGCUCCCUUCGCAUGGGAGAGGCCUCUGGUUCGAUUCCUGACUCAUCCA